CCCUUAGAUGUUCUGGGCCGCACGCGCGCUACACUGACUACUUCAACGAGUUGUUUCCUUGAUCGAAAGGUCUGGGUAAUCUUUGAAAGGUAGUCGUGCUGGGGAUAGAUCAUUGCAAUUUUUGAUCUUGAACGAGGAAUUCCUAGUAAGCGCGAGUCAUCAGCUCGCGUUGAUUACGUCCCUGCCCUUUGUACACACCGCCCGUCGCUCCUACCGAUUGAAUGGUCCGGUGAAAUCUUCGGAUUGCUGACCAAGAUCCAGCAAUGGAGCUUGGUUGCGAGAAGUUGAUUAAACCUUAUUAUUUAGAGGAAGGAGAAGUCGUAACA
rnacentral:rRNA from 1 species